rnacentral:lncRNA from 1 species
AGCCUGAGGCUUUAGGCAAACCUAAUUGAAACUGAUGAACCAAUUGAUAUCAAAGAUAAGUUUGGUAUUUUGAUCGAUGAUUUUUAAUUAGGAGUGGCUUAUCUGAUCAUUUUGAUGGUGUCUAAGGUAAGCUUAGCAUAUCCUCCCACCGAUCUUACUUACCUGAUCAAUAUGGUAAAUCAGUUUUUGAUUAGGUUGCUUAUUGAUUCGUGCUAACCCAUGCUGCAUAGA